AUAAAAGCAAUGAAGAGAAGAGUAAGUAGUGGAAGCUUUUACAGAGAACUCCGUGUGUUGAGAAGGAGAAUGUGAAAACUACUGAAUAUGGUCCCUGAGCGAAUUAAAGUAAAGUAAAGUGCAAUUUAUAAUUAUAAAUUAUGAAUUGAAUUUGGGUGGUACCGCGGGUAGAAACUCGUCCCAUGA
rnacentral:ncRNA from 1 species